CUGAAAAGCCUAGAAGAGAUACAAUGAAAAUUCCAAUCUACUGCAAAGCAUUUUUCUUUCCUCUCUUUCUACUGAACAUUAUGGCUAUACCCCAAUUUUCCCACUAACUUUUUUUACCUCUGAGAUUUUAGGAGCUAAGACUGCAGGGGUGGUUGUGGGAAAUCCAGCAUGCGCAGUGUGGUUUGAAAUCCACAGACAAGGGGCGAUGGCUUCCUUCCUUGGCCCACUGCCCUACGCGCGGUGAGCAGAGCAGCCAAGCCAGAGUGGCAGCCACAGUGUGGGAGCCCAGCUCUGCUGCCAUAAAUUACCCAGGGGCAGGAAGGAGCAGUGAGAGUCAGCGGUUUCAGCUACCUAGUAGUUCAUUUUUGUUCUUGUUUUUCAGUUAGCAAUCUGUAAAAUUUAUUGCAAAAUUAAGCUCCCUGCUCCAGAGUCAAUAAUAUUCCUGGUGCCAGGUGGUGUAAUAAUUCACCAAAAGGGCAGAAGUUGGAGGGAAUAAGACUGAUUUAGGAAGUAGACUUCCAAGCCCUAUUGCUGCUGCCUAUUCCCUGCUGCUAAAGGUCAGAAAAUAUGGUGGUUUGGAACAUGUUGGAAUGGAGACAAGUGGAAAAGACAAAUUUUGGAGGUAGAACUGACAGCACCUGAAGAUGGAAACUCCCAGAUUAACAAACUCAUACUACCCUGGAACCAGCAUCGGUGCUAUGGUGGAACCAAGAAUUCACUUCUGACUUCAUUGUCACUGCCACUAGCAUCUGUCUACUCCCAAGAAACUAAAAGACAGGCACUGGACUGCUGCUGCAGAAACAUCCACAAUUCCACAGACUUGCUUGCAAAAGUGGUUGAAAAUUACCUCUACUCUUUUCCACCUUCUAAUGUUAGGUGAGUGCAAGGAUUGGUGAAAACUGCUUCUUCUCAUCCCCGGCUGCCUGGAAGUCUGGAAAAUGUAGUUGAUUUUAUCUUUGUUCUUGGUAUGUUUAUUUUGUCUUGGUUUUCUUUCAAAAACCUCCAAUUAGGGUGGAAGUGUAAUACAACUUGAGUAAUUCAAUUAAGAGUGACCACACCUAGACUAACGGGAGACACUCCUCUCAAGGAGUGGGUUCUAACUCCCACUUCACGGGCACCAACGGGCAUAUCAUUUUGGUCUUCCAGGAAGUAGAUGAUAAGAUGUAGUUAGGAGUGCAAAAGAUUUGUUGAGGAAUAACAUUUUUAAAUGUAAAAGGGAGGAAGCAGAUUGCGAGAUGGCACUGUCAGAGUUCGAUACAGGUCUAAUAAAGUCUCUGCUAAGCCAAUAACCUAGGACAAUGAUGGCUCACAAAAUACAUUGUACAGAUAAGGUAAGACCUUGGUACCAUAGGCUGACUCAGUCAUAGGUGAGGGCUACCCCUAUGAUGAUAUAAAGCUGAGGAGAACCUGACGGAGUUAACACUAGAAGGCUAUCAGCUAAUGACACCCCUCGCAGCUGGGCAAUACAUUCUUUUUUGAAGGGAGAUGUUGAGAGUGCGUCUCUGUGUGUGGCAGAGGUCACUUGUGCUGUCACUAGGUUUGUGUGAAAAACAUUGCUCCACCCACUAAGGCCUCCCUCUGCUCUCAUACUCAAAUAUACUGCCACAGGAUCACUCAUAUUUACUUCACUAAUUAUCUUUUCAUUCUGGGCACAGGUAAAUGGUCUUUUCUUUCUUUCAAGGUUGGCUACAUUACCCAUAAUUUCUAAGUAUUAACAGUAGGAGGAC
rnacentral:lncRNA from 1 species